rnacentral:misc_RNA from 1 species
GAUGAAGAACGCAGUGAAAUGCGAUAAGUAAUGUGAAUUGCAGAAUUCAGUGAAUCAUCGAAUCUUUGAACGCACAUUGCGCCCGCCAGUAUUCUGGCGGGCAUGCCUGUUCGAGCGUCAUUUCAACCCUCAAGCCCAGCUUGGUGUUGGGGAUCGGCACAGGCGCCCUCGGGCGCCAGCCGUCCCCUAAAUCUAGUGGCGGUCCCGCUGCAGCCUCCUCUGCGUAGUAGUUUUCUCCUCGCAAGGGCAGCUCGGUGGCGACCUCGCCGUAAAACCCCCAACUUCUGAAAGGUUGACCUCGAAUCAGGUAGGAAUACCCGCUGAACUUAAGCAUAUCAAUAAGCGGAGGA